CCCCUCUUAGCAUCGCAUCUGGAGAGUUUCCGGUCCUCUACCAGUCUCGGAUACGAGAGGGAGAGUCAAGCGGAGGCCUCUCCGUUCCAUUCCUAGCUUGGGCAGUGGCUAGGGAGUGGAAGGCAAUCUGCUACAAGU
rnacentral:snoRNA from 1 species